UAGGGGAUAUUGGUGAAUGGGCGAAAGCCUGAACCAGCAACGCCGCGUGUGCGAUGAAGGCCUUCGGGUUGUAAAGCACUUUUUACCGGGAAGAGGAAGGACGGUACCGGUAGAAUAAGCCUCGGCUAACUACGUGCCAGCAGCCGCGGUAAAACGUAGGAGGCGAGCGUUAUCCGGAUUUACUGGGUGUAAAGCGCGUGCAGGCGGACGGGUAAGUUGGGUGUGAAAGCUCCUGGCUCAACUGGGAGAGGUCGCUCAAGACUGCCGGUCUCGAGGAUGGUAGGGGAAGGCGGAAUUCCGGGUGUAGUGGUGAAAUGCGUAGAUAUCCGGAGGAACACCAGUGGCGAAAGCGGCCUUCUGGACCAUAACUGACGCUCAGACGCGAAAGCUAGGGGAGCAAACGGG
rnacentral:rRNA from 1 species